rnacentral:rRNA from 1 species
GUGCCAGCCGCCGCGGUAAUACGGAGGGUGCAAGCGUUAAUCGGAAUUACUGGGCGUAAAGCGCACGCAGGUGGUCUGACAAGUCGGAUGUGAAAUCCCCGGGCUCAACCCGGGAACUGCAUUCGAAACUGUCAGGCUGGAGUCUUGUAGAGGGGGGUAGAAUUCCAGGUGUAGCGGUGAAAUGCGUAGAGAUCUGGAGGAAUACCGGUGGCGAAGGCGGCCCCCUGGACAAAGACUGACGCUCAGGUGCGAAAGCGUGGGGAGCAAACAGGAUUAGAUACCCUGGUAGUCCACGCUGUAAACGAUGUCGACCUGGAGGUUGUGCCCUUGAGGCGUGGCUUCCGGAGCUAACGCGUUAAGUCGACCGCCUGGGGAGUACGGCCGCAAGGUUAAAACUCAAAUGAAUUGACGGGGCCCGCACAAGCGGUGGAGCAUGUGGUUUAAUUCGAUGCAACGCGAAGAACCUUACCUACUCUUGACAUCCACGGAAUUUAGCAGAGAUGCUUUAGUGCCUUCGGGAACCGUGAGACAGGUG